GCGGGCAUCGCCAAGGUGAAGGGAUAGUCCAGACCACGAACGCCGGAUCGGCGGCGGCGAAAGCCGAAGUGGUAUGAAAAUCCGUGGGGCCGCAAGGCCUGUGCCGGUUCGAGUCCGGCCGCCCGCACCA
rnacentral:tRNA from 1 species